GACGAACGCUGGCGGCAUGCCUAACACAUGCAAGUCGAACGAGAUCUUCGGGUCUAGUGGCGCACGGGUGCGUAACGCGUGGGAAUCUGCCCUUUGGUUCGGAAUAACAGUUGGAAACGACUGCUAAUACCGGAUGAUGACGAAAGUCCAAAGAUUUAUCGCCAGAGGAUGAGCCCGCGUAGGAUUAGCUAGUUGGUGUGGUAAAGGCGCACCAAGGCGACGAUCCUUAGCUGGUCGGAGAGGAUGAUCAGCCACACUGGGACUGAGACACGGCCCAGGCUCCUACGGGAGGCAGCAGUGGGUAAUAUUGGAAAAUGGGCGAAAGGCUGAUCCAGCAAUGCCGCGUGAGUGAUGAAGGCCUUAGGGUUGUAAAGCUCUUUUACCCGGGAUGAUAAUGACAGUACCGGGAGAAUAAGCUCCGGCUAACUCCGUGCCAGCAGCCGCCGUAA
rnacentral:rRNA from 1 species